UACGGAGGAUCCGAGCGUUAUCCGGAUUUAUUGGGUUUAAAGGGUGCGCAGGCGGAUAAAUAAGUCAGUGGUGAAAUCCUACGGCUCAACUGUAGAACUGCCAUUGAUACUGUUUAUCUUGAGUACAGUUGGAGUGGGCGGAAUGUGUCAUGUAGCGGUGAAAUGCUUAGAUAUGACACAGAACACCGAUCGCGAAGGCAGCUCACUAAGCUGUAACUGACGCUCAGGCACGAAAGCGUGGGGAUCAAACAGG
rnacentral:rRNA from 1 species